rnacentral:rRNA from 1 species
AUUGAACGCUGGCGGCAUGCCUUACACAUGCAAGUCGAACGGCAGCAUGGGUGCUUGCACCUGAUGGCGAGUGGCGAACGGGUGAGUAAUGCAUCGGAACGUACCCGGAAGUGGGGGAUAACGUAGCGAAAGUUACGCUAAUACCGCAUAUUCUGUGAGCAGGAAAGCGGGGGAUCGCAAGACCUCGCGCUUCCGGAGCGGCCGAUGUCGGAUUAGCUAGUUGGCGGGUAAAGGCCCACCAAGGCAACGAUCCGUAGCGGGUCUGAGAGGAUGAUCCGCCACACUGGGACUGAGACACGGCCCAGACUCCUACGGGAGGCAGCAGUGGGGAAUUUUGGACAAUGGGCGCAAGCCUGAUCCAGCCAUGCCGCGUGAGUGAAGAAGGCCUUCGGGUUGUAAAGCUCUUUCGGCUGGGAAGAAAUCGCAUCUCCUAAUACGGGGUGUGGAUGACGGUACCAGCAUAAGAAGCACCGGCUAACUACGUG